AAAUAUAUAUAAGAUUUAUCAGUUGAUAAAUAUGUUAGUGUCUAAUUUUUAUUUAUCUUGAUUAAGUCAAAAUUCAUUCAAAUCUUACUUAAAUAUAAAUCUUAAUCUAAUUUCAGUUCAAGCCCAGCAAAAACCCACCAAAUGAAAAUGGAAUAACAAAAUGGCGAAAUGAAAAGCACGAUAGUUGGUAAUGGCUGUCCAAUUAACAUUGUUGCAAUUAGAUAGCUCGCCGAGCCCACCGACUUUCGGUUCUAUU
rnacentral:lncRNA from 1 species